CUUCAUUUUAUAGACGGAGAAAUAUAUUGGCAAAAACAGGGAACAGCUAUUGGGACAAAAUUUGCCCCGGCCUAUGCCAAUAUAUUUAUGUAUGUCUUGGAAGCAAGGAUGCUAAAAGAAUGCGAAUUUAAACCAUGGGUAUGGUGGAGAUUUUUGGAUGAUAUAUUUUUUAUUUGGUUGCAUGGCAUUGAAAAGUUGGAAAAGUUUUUGAAUUUUAUAAAUUCUUUUCACGAAACAAUCCGUUAUACUUGGGAUUAUUCUGCAAAUCAGGUGUCAUUUCUUGAUGUAACAAUCUGUAAGGAAAUAGGAGGGGGGAUUUCUACUGAUGUG